UACGUAGGGUGCGAGCGUUUGUCCGGAAUUAUUGGGCGUAAAGGGCUCGUAGGCGGUUUGUCGCGUCGGGAGUGAAAUCCACUGGCUUAACUGGUGGCUUGCUUUCGGUACGGGCAGACUGGAGGUAUGCAGGGGAGAACGGAAUUCCUGGUGUAGCGGUGAAAUGCGCAGAUAUCAGGAGGAACACCGGUGGCGAAGGCAGGUCUCUGGGCCAUUACUGACACUGAGAAGCGAAAGCAUGGGGGAGCGAACAGG
rnacentral:rRNA from 1 species